GCACCAGCCUUUGGAUGCCUGCAGCCUCUGCAGGGAGAGGGGCAACCAGACCCAGGGAAGUCCCCGUGGGGCUAGGCUCCCCUCCUCUCUCCAGGGCAGGUGCCGGGGACUACUGGGUCUUUCAAGUCCUGGAGAGGCUCCUAGACGGGGGAGGAGGCCCGCCUCCCGCCCCCUUCGCCUCCCCCACGCUGGAGCAACCUUGGGAUUUUCUACCCAAAGGGAGGCCACGGCUGAUUCACCCGGGGGCUUUUGGGGGGACAUUCCUGCUGUAGGAAGGCCUCCUCCCCGAAGGCCUGUAGGCGGGGGCUCUUCCCAGUGGGGGGCUCCGGGGUUCUGCCCCAGGAACGGUCUCUUGGGUGUGGGGGGAGGGAGGAAAGCUGUCUCCUCUUUGGGAUGGGCCCUCUCCCCGAAACAUCUCGGCAGCGGUUAACUCCCACGCCGCACUUGUUAUGGGUGCUCAUGCCCCUGCUCCAGUCCCAUGGCCCUGUGUGAGGUGUGUGUCUCCAUCACAGGUAUACAAGUGUUAUUUCAGCCCAUGUGCUGGCGUGCGUGCAACAGGUUCACAGCGGGCCAGACUUUCAGACAUGACUGAACUCAGGAGCGCCGCGCCUGGAAACGCUUUGCUUAUCCGUCCCAGAGACUUGGGUAUUAGAAUUAAAAAGGCUAAUCCCAUUUCCAAGGCACCCCCUUCUAUACCCAAGGGAGGCACUUACAGAGGUUCAGACGCCCAGGAACAUCUACCUGGUGGUGCUGAGCAAAGGGAAGCCCCAGAUGCUAAAUGAUCACAUAGCCAGCUGGGCCCAAAUGAAGAGGGUGUCUUCCUUGGAGCAGUUAGGGAAGAGGACAACUGCCCAAACCCCUGGCACAUCCCUGCUGGCAAAGGUACACUGCUGUGCUGAUGGUGGUCAUCGGGCAGCGGAAAAGGAAUCCUGACCUCAGUCCUGCCAUCUGGCUGGCUUUUGGCCUGUGGCCACAUGGACCAGACUGUUGGUAGGUUCAGUGUCACUUCUGUUCAUGCAAGGUCUAAGCCAGCCGUGGGCAAACUACGGCCCGCGGGCUGGAUCCGGCCUGUUUGAAAUGAAUAAAACUAAAAAAAAAAAAAAAAAAAGACCAUACCCUUUUAUGUAAUGAUGUUUACUUUGAAUUUAUAUUAGUUCACACAAACACUCCAUCCAUACUUUUGUUCCGGCCCUCCGGUCCAGUUUAAGAACCCAUUGUGGCCCUCGAGUCAAAAAGUUUGCCCACCCCUGGUCUAAGCCCUGGGUAUUCUAAGAACAUGGUGCCCACAAGUUCAAGAAGGAAACCAGAGGGAAAGGCAUUAAUGGUACUAAGACAUUUAUUACAUCAUAAAAAGUCCAUUGUUGUCGUUUUUCCAUAUGUACAUGUUCCUAUGGGCAGUCCCCCUGUCCAGCGCCAUCUGCCCACCCUCAAUGCCAAUCAGCUCUCCAAACUCACCAACAAAUUAAUAAAAGAGGAAGAACUGAAGGAGGUGGCCCAGGGCUGAUGGGAGUGGGGAUGGGAGAGGGAAACAAAGUGCAGAGUGGUUAGGUUGGCUCUCAAUGCCUAACCAUGGGCAGGAGGGACACAAGGGCAGGCACUGCAGGGCUGGCACAGUGAUGCCUCCCCAGAGCUACCAGGCUGCAGGUGAUACCUGAGUGUGCUCCCAGGUUGGACCCCCAAGAAUGGAGAGCAGAGGAGGAAGGUCCUGCAGCCUGACUGUGGGUCCCAGGAAGGGCUAGAAAAAUUCUGUUUUUUAGGUCCCCAUACAAGUAGCAGCGAUAGCAGCUCGAGUUGGGCCUGAAGAGUGUGGCCCCUGGGACAGCUGGAAGGGGGACCAGGGACAGGUCCUAAUCUCUGAGGGGCCUAUUUUAGUUAACCUCAGAGGUGGGCAUGGGGUCUGUGGGGCGAGGUGUGGCCAGGAGGGGCACUGGUGAGGUGGCUUCAAUGAGAGCAGGGUUGAGGAUGAUGGGCAGAGUCAUGGGUGGCACACCCACCUGCAGUGGGGAGGCCAAGGGCUGCAGGAUCAGUGGGGGCUGAGCCAGGGGCAGAGGCCCAUCUGGGGUAGGGCUCAGCCUGCUGGGGCUAGAUGCCACUGGUGAUCCAGGGGAGCUGCUGUUGCCAGGUCGGGGGCCCUCGGACUUCUCAAAGUCUAUAGUGAGAGUCAAAGUCAAAGGUGGCUGCAGUCAAACUCCCUCAUACCCAUCUUUGCUCCUCCCCAUUCCUGUGAGCAAAAUGACCCCUCCCAGGCUAAAUAGUUGGGAGUCUCCCUCUGAAACUCAUUCCAUUGCCCAGCUACCUUAUCUCUGUCCUCUACCUCCUUUGCUAUACUUCUAGUUAGGUUAAUUUUGGUCUGGUCUUUAUUAGAAUCCCUGAAGGGCAACCUUUGCAUAUUCUCCAAGUCCCAGACCCAGCUUUCUCUUCCCAAGCCUGAAAAUCUCAAGCAGCUAGCUCUAUUAUAGCUUAUUUGAUCCUGCCAUUUCUGAUAGGAGAGCAGGCAAACAGGAUUCUCAGGGUCUCCCCUACCCCUGGCUCACAGCCCAUGCUUAGCAGCAAUCUCAAGCUACCCUGGGCCUGCUCUUAGGCCUCCUCUUUCCUGCUCAACACCCAGCAGGCUGGCCCAGAGGGACUCACCACAGGCUCCCAAUUCAGAGGGCAUCUCUGGGAGAAGUGGAUGGCCAGGUGUUCUGGUGUCCCCAGCAGUAGGUGUCAGGUGGGCUGAAGGUAGAGGUUUUUGGGCAUGAGGCUCCAUAGGCAUGGGGUCUGAGGUGGACAAAGAAUCCAGAUGGCAGCUCUUAGAAUUUCAUGCCCUGACUACCCACCAGUCUUCCCACCCACCUACAGCACAGAGAACUACUGAGCUCCAGACUUUCUGAUGAAGUUGGGCUGAGCCCCCUACCCUGCAUGACAGUCUGCUUGAAGAGCUCAUCUCGUAGGUGGGGCAGAAAACAGUCGAUGCGCUCCCAGGUAAUCUCCCAGAGGGCUGAGGGGCUGCCUCCUCGGGCAUCUGCACUGUGGAAAAUCUCCGCUGUGUCCAUCACCAGAAGCAUGUUCUUCAGAGACUCAGGGAUGGCCUCUGACUACAGGUGGCAGUGGGACCAUGAGAAUAGAAAAGAGGGCAUGGGAGAAUAUGGUAAGGAGGAAGCCACCAAGGGGGGAAACAGUAAGUCUUCCCAGCAGGUGGGAGAGGAAGCAGGCAGCAGGAGUCAGGCUGAGGUAGAACAUACCAGUAAGUCACUGGAGCCUGCAUGCAUGUACUUGUCCAUGAAGUCCAAGAUGGUCAGCCAGAGGGCCGCAAAGGUAGAGAGUGACAGCAGUGGAGACAGGUGCUGCAGGAAGACCUAUGGCCCGCCAGCCCCUUUCAGCCGAGAGUAGGGUAGGGGCCUUCUAUACCCUUCUCCAAGGCUGGGAGGCAAGCCUGUCCUAUCUUGCAUGGGAAUCUUAGGUUAGAAAUGCCUCUGAAUUCCAGAAAUGUCCCAGGUCCCUAAGUCCCACUGAGUCUCCAUAGCUUGGGUCCUGAGCACCUACAUUGCAUCUCUAGGUCCUACCAGAAGCCUUGGCUUCCCUCCUUGUGAAGAGGCAGGAGAGUGGGUGGGUGAGAGUGGGAGCAAUACCUUAGAGAGCAGUGUGGAAGCCCUCAUCCGGGUCUCUUCCAUCCCACCCACAUCUGCAGGGCUGAUGUUCUCCAAGAGCUUGGUCAGUAGAGGAAACAGCACCUGGUAGGUAAACAGCCAACAUCUCCUAGCAAGGUCAGUGGGCAGCCUUGUCCCAAGGAAGCCAGGGGCUGGGGUGGAUGAGUAUUGAGCAGAAGGGGAAGGUCUGAUGCAGACUGAGGAUUGACAUUGGGCUCUUCAGGCUGCCUUGUUCUCCUUAUCUUAAGGAUUUGAACUUUACCUUAAGACUAGAGGGAAGUCUGCCUGGCUGGUGUGGCUCAGCGGCUGAGCAUCAAUCCAGGAACCAAGAGGUUGCCAGUUUGAUUCCCAGUUAGGGCACAUGCCCAGGGUGUGGGCUUGAUCCCCAGGAGGAGUGUGUGUAGGAGGCAGCUGAUCGAUGUUUCUAUCUUUCUAUCCCUCUCCCUUCCCCUCU